AUUGAACGCUGGCGGCAGGCCUAACACAUGCAAGUCGAGCGGAUGAAGGGAGCUUGCUCCUGGAUUCAGCGGCGGACGGGUGAGUAAUGCCUAGGAAUCUGCCUGGUAGUGGGGGAUAACGUCCGGAAACGGGCGCUAAUACCGCAUACGUCCUGAGGGAGAAAGUGGGGGAUCUUCGGACCUCACGCUAUCAGAUGAGCCUAGGUCGGAUUAGCUAGUUGGUGGGGUAAAGGCCUACCAAGGCGACGAUCCGUAACUGGUCUGAGAGGAUGAUCAGUCACACUGGAACUGAGACACGGUCCAGACUCCUACGGGAGGCGGCAGUGGGGAAUAUUGGACAAUGGCGAAAGCCUGAUCCAGCCAUGCCGCGUGUGUGAAGAAGGUCUUCGGAUUGUAAAGCACUUUAAGUUGGGAGGAAGGGCAGUAAGUUAAUACCUUGCUGUUUUGACGUUACCAACAGAAUAAGCACCGGCUAACUUCGUG
rnacentral:rRNA from 1 species